rnacentral:misc_RNA from 1 species
UACACGCACACGCCUACUCACAAAGUGCUCGCACAUAUCCUAGUACCGCUGAAGGAUAUUUCUACCUCGCCUCAGUCUGUCCCCCUUCCUACUCUCGUCCCGCCACCGCUUCCGCAGGCCGCGCACCUUCCUCUAACGGUUCUCCUCUCCCAUCUCUCUUUAGUUUCAUAGUGAUUGCCUGUGCGCCCCCCACGCGACAUCACUGCACGGCGCGCGCGACUUUCCUUUGCGGCUUUCUUCUCUGUAGUACUGUGUGGUGCUCAUUUCCGACUUUCGCCAUCAUGCCGCGGGAGGCCUGCAGUGGACUGUGGAGGUCGGAGGACAUGGUGGUCCUCUCCCUGCACAUGCAGCGCGAGGUGGCCCACGACGCCGUUCUCAAGCUCGGCGAGAUCGGCCAGUUCCAGUUUGAAGACCUAAACAGGGACGUGAGCGCCUUCCAGCGCGACUUUGUGCAGGAAGUGCGCCGCUGCGACGACAUGGAGCGCAAGCUGCGCUUUCUGCAAGAGGAAAUCGAAAAGGCCGGUGUGACCACCAUCGUGGACGGCGGCGCGGAGGGGGAGACGAUGUCGUCGCUUGAGCACAAAAUCGACGAGGUGUACUCUGAGGUGGUGGAGCUCAAUGAGCAGUACCAGGCCCUCAUCGAGGAGCGCAAUCGGUCCAAGGAGCACCUCGAGAUUCUCUCGCGCGACUUUGGCGGUUCAACCGGCGAUGGGGUGUUGAUGGUGACCGGCGUCAUUCCGAAGGAGCGCAUUCCGCUCUUCGAGCGCCUUGUGUACCGUUCCACACGCGGCAACUCUAUCAUGCGCACGGACAAUAUCGAUAAGCCCUUCUACAACAUAAACGCGAACGAGCCUGUGUACAAAAGCGUGUUUGCCGUGUACUUUUCGGCCCCGCGGCUGCGCGAGAGGCUUAUCAAGAUUGCCGAGGCGAACGCGGCGACCGUAUACAGCUACGCCGACUCUGAGCAGCAGCUGACCCGCAUGCACGCCUCCCUGCAGCAGCAGGUGGACACGAUCACCCAGACCCUCAACCAGUCAGCCUACCGCCAGCGGCAGGUGCUGCUCGGCAUUGCGGCUGCCUGCUACGAGUGGCGCCGCGCUGUGGUGACGGAAAAGGCGGUCUUCUCGACCAUGAACAUGCUGAAGUUCUCGGGGUCGACCGCGAUCGCGCGAGGGUGGGCGCCGGUGCGCUCGUGCGAGGACAUCCGCACGGCGAUCGCCGAGGCUGAGUACCUGAGCGGGGCGCAGGUGGCGACGAUUAUUGAGGAGCUGAACACGCAGGAGACGCCGCCGUCGUACUUCAAGACCAACAAGAUCACGGGUUCCUUCCAAAGCAUCGUGGACAGCUACGGUAUGGCCCGCUACAAGGAGGCGAACCCCGGCGUAUUCACGAUCAUCACCUUCCCUUAUCUCUUCGGUGUCAUGUACGGCGACGUCGGCCACGGGAUCAUCCUCACCCUCUUUGCCGCUUUCCUAGUCUUCAAGGAGAAGAGCUUGGAGGGGCAGCCUUUGAACGAGAUCUUCGCCAUGAUCUUCGGCGGCCGCUACUUGCUGUUGCUCAUGGGCUUCUUCGCUGUGUACAUGGGGCUCCUGUACAACGACAUGUUUGGCUUCUCCAUCGAAAUCUUCGCCUCGGGCUACCGCUGGCCGCAGCUGCCACCGGAGGGCCCAGACGGGAUCGUGUACCCGUCCUUCCCCACAGGCCGCCCCAGCGUCAAGCCGGAAUCGCCGGUCAUCUUUGGCAUCGACUCCGCCUGGUCGGAGACGGAGAACAAGCUGGAAUUCUACAACUCCAUCAAGAUGAAGUGCUCCGUCAUUAUUGGUGUGGCGCAGAUGAUGGCUGGCGUGUUCAUUUCUCUGACGAACUACAUCUACUUCAACGACAGCGUCAAGGUGUGGUUCCGCUUCGUUCCGGAGGUGGUGUUUCUGUCGUGCACCUUUGGAUACAUGUGUGUCCUCAUCAUUGUGAAGUGGCUGACCACCUGGGAGAACACGCACGAUGCCCCGUCGCUGCUGGAGACGAUGACGAACUUCUUCCUGGCACCGGGAACCAUCACCCUUCCGCUCUUCUCUGGCCAGGCUGCCCUGCAGGUGAUGCUUCUGCUGGUGUCCUUGGCCUGCGUUCCAUGCAUGCUGUGCGUCAUCCCGUAUGUGGAGAAGAAAGAGCACGACCACAAGAUGCAAGAACGGGCUGCCCACCCGCCUGAGGACGGCGAGGAGGAAGAGGAGGACGACUUCCAGUUCAGCGAGAUCAUCAUCCACCAGAUCAUUCACACGAUCGAGUACGUGCUCGGCUGCGUGUCGAACACCGCCUCGUACCUACGUCUGUGGGCCCUGUCCCUCGCCCACUCGCAGCUGUCGGAGGUGUUCUGGAGCUUCGCCUUCCUCCUCACGGUCGACUACGACAGCGGCACCGGAAUCUGCAUCUUCUUUGGCUUCGCCGUGUGGAUGGCGGCGACGAUCGGCGUGCUGCUCGGCAUGGAGUCCCUGUCCGCCUUCCUGCACGCGCUGCGUCUUCAUUGGGUGGAGUUCAACAACAAGUUCUACGCCGCUGACGGCCACGCGUUCGAGCCGUUCGACCUCGCGGAGUCGCUGAGCAAGCUGCGAUAAGCACCUUCACCGACACCAGCACCCGGCGGCCGUGCAGAACGUGUGGAUGGGGUGGAGCGCAAAGGUGGCUCGCUUGUACCCACUUCUUCGGCGACUUCGGUGUGCGGCGCAUAAAUGGAGCGAGAGAGGAGGCUUGCAGGACCAUCGCGGUGCUGUAUUUUUUCUUUCGAUUGCAUCCGUGUGCUCGCGACGACUCAAGCGGCGUGGCCUCUUCGCCACUUCUCUCUCUGUUUGUGUGUGUGUGUGUCUGUGCCUUGUCGUGGGCGAGUGGAUGUGUGGCGUGAGUUUGCUUUUGCGUUCAUUCGCUGUGUUCCCUAAGGCGCAAGAGUUGUGAAAACGAAAGCAGAGGAAGCAGGCAAACGGACCGGAUGGCGCACUACCGUGGGCCCACCAGAUACGAUGGCGUGGGCAGUCGCGAUGAAGGCUGGUCGGGGGAAGGGCACACAGCGCCGCUGGAUGUUUUUGAGGCCUGCGUGUGCCCCUUCCUCCUCCCCUUCGCCACCCGAAGCUCGGCGACGCUCGCGGUUCUGUCGAGGCGCACACUCAGGAAGCAGCAGCAGAGCGUGGAUCACUUCUCGGGUACACUACAUCCGCUCGGGUGAAGGAGGGUGCCGAAGAGCAGAGGCGCUCGCUUUGGUCGUGCCACCAGCGGAUUCCACGGAACGGCGCCUUUGGAGCAGCGCGUGGAGGUAGGUUUGUGUGUGUGUGUGCACGGCACGUAUAUUCGCCGCACUCGACAUUAUCCGCUGCUCUACCUCUCUGUCUAUGAUAGUCGCUUCUCCUUCGUGUCCCCAACGCCGCGGCUGCGGGGCGCGGUGGACACGUUGGCCCUCUUAGCCGCACGCAUACUUGCGCACUCGCACAAGUGUUUGGACGCGUGCUCACUGCUCACACUCCCACUUUUUCCCUCUCCUGCCGUGCCACUAUCGUCGCCUCCUUCUUCCGUCAG